rnacentral:ncRNA from 1 species
UUUCACCACUAGGGGAGCACUUUAGCUGAGAGAGACGAUUAAGUCUUGACCCUUAUUACCUGAUCUAGAUAAUACUAGCGGAGGGAAGAGGUGUUUGAAUGUA